CCUGGUGGAUUAGUGGCGAACGGGUGAGUAACACGUGAGCAAUCUGCCCUUGACUCUGGGAUAAGCGUUGGAAACGACGUCUAAUACCGGAUACGACCCUCGGAGGCAUCUCCUGGGGGUGGAAAGAAUUUUGGUCAAGGAUGAGCUCGCGGCCUAUCAGCUUGUUGGUGAGGUAAUGGCUCACCAAGGCGACGACGGGUAGCCGGCCUGAGAGGGUGACCGGCCACACUGGGACUGAGACACGGCCCAGACUCCUACGGGAGGCAGCAGUGGGGAAUAUUGCACAAUGGGCGAAAGCCUGAUGCAGCAACGCCGCGUGAGGGAUGACGGCCUUCGGGUUGUAAACCUCUUUUAGUAGGGAAGAAGCGAAAGUGACGGUACCUGCAGAAAAAGCACCGGCUAACUACGUGCCAGCAGCCGCGGUAAUACGUAGGGUGCAAGCGUUGUCCGGAAUUAUUGGGCGUAAAGAGCUCGUAGGCGGUUUGUCGCGUCUGCUGUGAAAUCUGGGGGCUCAACCCCCAGCCUGCAGUGGGUACGGGCAGACUAGAGUGCGGUAGGGGAGAUUGGAAUUCCUGGUGUAGCGGUGGAAUGCGCAGAUAUCAGGAGGAACACCGAUGGCGAAGGCAGAUCUCUGGGCCGUAACUGACGCUGAGGAGCGAAAGCAUGGGGAGCGAACAGGAUUAGAUACCCUGGUAGUCCAUGCCGUAAACGUUGGGAACUAGAUGUGGGGACCAUUCCACGGUCUCCGUGUCGCAGCUAACGCAUUAAGUUCCCCGCCUGGGGAGUACGGCCGCAAGGCUAAAACUCAAAGGAAUUGACGGGGGCCCGCACAAGCGGCGGAGCAUGCGGAUUAAUUCGAUGCAACGCGAAGAACCUUACCAAGACUUGACAUAUACGAGAACGGGCCAGAAAUGGUCAACUCUUUGGACACUCGUAAACAGGUGGUGCAUGGUUGUCGUCAGCUCGUGUCGUGAGAUGUUGGGUUAAGUCCCGCAACGAGCGCAACCCUCGUCCUAUGUUGCCAGCACGUAAUGGUGGGAACUCAUGGGAUACUGCCGGGGUCAACUCGGAGGAAGGUGGGGAUGACGUCAAAUCAUCAUGCCCCUUAUGUCUUGGGCUUCACGCAUGCUACAAUGGCCGGUACAAAGGGCUGCGAUACCGUAAGGUGGAGCGAAUCCCAAAAAGCCGGUCUCAGUUCGGAUUGAGGUCUGCAACUCGACCUCAUGAAGUCGGAGUCGCUAGUAAUCGCAGAUCAGCAACGCUGCGGUGAAUACGUUCCCGGGCCUUGUACACACCGCCCGUCAAGUCAUGAAAGUCGGUAACACCCAACGCCAGUGGCCUAACCCC
rnacentral:rRNA from 1 species